CGACCGGCGCACGGGUGCGUAACGCGUAUGCAACCUACCUUUAACAGGGGGAUAACACUGAGAAAUUGGUACUAAUACCCCAUAAUAUCAUAGAAGGCAUCUUUUAUGGUUGAAAAUUCCGAUGGUUAGAGAUGGGCAUGCGUUGUAUUAGCUAGUUGGUGGGGUAACGGCUCACCAGGCGACGAUACAUAGGGGGACUGAGAGGUUAACCCCCCACACUGGUACUGAGACACGGACCAG
rnacentral:rRNA from 1 species